GCGGAGGAAAAGAAAAUAACAAUGAUUCCCCUAGUAACGGCGAGUGAACAGGGAAAAGCUCAAAGUUGGAACCUCCUGGUCCUAGAUYAGGCGGAUUGUAAACUAAAGCUCUUGGGUAGUACGGUUGGCCUGAUAAAAAAGUUCUCUGGAAAGAGGCGACAUAGAGGGUGAUAUCCCCGUCUUUGGUCAGAGCUCAAUCAUGCGUUUGCCCUUUAGCGAAGAGUCAGGUUGUUUGGGAAUGCAGCCUAAAAUGGGAGGUAAAUCUCUCCUAAAGCUAAAUAUUGACGAAAGACCGAUAGCGAACAAGUACCGUGAGGGAAAGAUGAAAAGCACUUUGAAAAGAGGGUCAAAAAGUACGUGAAAUUGCUGAAAGGGAACCGUAUGAAAUCAGUCUGAUGUGUUGGUAAUCAAUCUGGAUCUCGAUCUGGAUGCACUUGCCGAUGUAUUAGCCUGCGACAGUUUGAUCUGGAGGAAAAAAGAUGGGAGAAUGUGGCCUUGGCUUCGGUCAAGGUGUUAUAGCUCCUGUCAAAAUACUUUGGAUUGGACUGAGGACUGCAGCGAGCCGCAAGGUAAAGGUCUCGGGCGCUUGCUCUGGUUAUGUAAGAAAUCUCUGCUUCGGGUGGUAUCUUGCCUAAUCGGGACAACACGCUUGUUUCUCUUUUUUCUCGCUUAGGUCGUAGGCAUAAUGAUUUUAUAUGAC
rnacentral:rRNA from 1 species